rnacentral:lncRNA from 1 species
AUUUGAUACAACAUAGUUACCUGAGUUAAAAAUGUCCCAACUAGUGUAAGUUUUCAGCUCAACCUAUGAUCAGAGAUCAGAUGUGUUAGAGUNNNNNNNNNNNNNNNNNNNNNNNNNAGAUGGGACGGGACGGGGGGGAGAUGGGGGAGGGCGGGCGGGUGACAGGACUUGAGCUGUAAGGCUGGAGCAUAUGCCAGAUCUUCAGCAUCAGUGAUUUUUUUGGUGAAACAAAAAGGCGACCCAAGUUUGUCUGGGGACUAAUUGUAUUCAACUGCAGACAAAAUUAAACCCCAGGUCACUAUGGCUGGUUGCUGGGCCGCUGCUUUUAGGGUGUGCAAGGGUCUGUGAAGCAAUGCUGCAGAGGAAGUGAGGACUCAGAGAAGGAUGGGGUGGUUGUGCUGCUCUCACCACACCCACAGCCACAGCUGAUUCCCCUGUUGCCAGACCAAUGUGACUGCAGAAAUAGUGAAAAUCUGUCAAAAGAGCAGCCAGAAGUGAUGGCCAAAUCAGGAAAUAAGUGAAUGCCAGACAAUAACUCAACAAGCAGAAAAUUUUAUUGAGAUUUCAAAUGUUAAGUAUAUACCAGUCAUCUGCAGAGUAGUUGCAGCUUUCCAUACCCAUACAUUAUGGAAGCCUAUCAAAACCUCAUGUGGUGAACUUUCCCAGGAGGGAAGGAAGGAGUACAGGCAGACAGGCCACCCCACCUCAACUUCAGGCUUCUACUGUAGAGCUCCCUGUUCCUUUUUGAAGCCAGCAGAAGCAGGCACAACACCUCUAAAAAGGGGGAAGGAAGGAGCACAGGCAGGCAGAGAGGCCAGCCCACCUCACCUUCAGGCUUCUACUGUAGAGCUCCCCUGUUCCUUUUUGAAGAAGCAGAAGCAGCACAACUCCUCUAAAAAGCUACUGAUGGCUACUCUAUGAUUGUGAGAACAGCGCAAAGAGGUAUCAGAUGAUAUUUUUAUAUCUGUUUGUACGUCGAGAAGUGUCAUUUCAUGAAUUUAUUUGUGCUUUUUUAAAAAAAAAGGAAAGGGAAAUGGAAAAGAAAAAGAGAAACAUAAAAGGGAAGGAAAAAAAAGCAAGAAAAAAGAGGGAUUAACAGAUGCCUAUUGCUUUCUUUCUCCCUUCUACUGGUGGACUUAAAAAUGCACCCUUCUGCUAGGUGCAUUAAAUAGAAUGUGGCCAGCAGGUAGAGUGAGACGAUCUUUCCCCUCUACUUUGCACUGGUAAGGCCACGUUUAGAUUACUGUGUUCAGUUUUGGGCUCCCCAGUUCAAAACCAACAGGGAUCUCCUAGAAGGAGUCCAGCAGAGGGUCACAAAGAUGAUAAAGGGCCUGGAGCAUCU